UGGGGAAUAUUGCACAAUGGGCGAAAGCCUGAUGCAGCGACGCCGCGUGCGGGAUGAAGGCCUUCGGGUUGUAAACCGCUUUUAAUUGGGAGCAAGCGAGAGUGAGUGUACCUUUUGAAUAAGCACCGGCUAACUACGUGCCAGCAGCCGCGGUAAUACGUAGGGUGCAAGCGUUAUCCGGAAUUAUUGGGCGUAAAGAGCUCGUAGGCGGUUUGUCACGCCUGGUGUGAAAGUCCAUCGCUUAACGGUGGAUCUGCGCCGGGUACGGGCAGGCUAGAGUGCAGUAGGGGAGAUUGGAAUUCCCGGUGUAACGGUGGAAUGUGUAGAUAUCGGGAAGAACACCAAUGGCGAAGGCAGAUCUCUGGGCUGUUACUGACGCUGAGGAGCGAAAGCAUGGGGAGCGAACAGGAUUAGAUACCCUGGUAGUCCAUGCCGUAAACGGUGGAUGCUGGAUGUGGGACCCUUCCACGGGUUCCGUGUCGGAGCUAACGCGUUAAGCAUCCCGCCUGGGGAGUACGGCCGCAAGGCUAAAACUCUAAAGUGAAUUGACGGGGGUCAUA
rnacentral:rRNA from 1 species